rnacentral:rRNA from 1 species
UACAGAGGUCUCAAGCGUUGUUCGGAUUCAUUGGGCGUAAAGGGUGCGUAGGCGGCGCGGUAAGUCGGGUGUGAAAUCUCGGGGCUUAACUCCGAAACUGCAUUCGAUACUGCCGUGCUUGAGGACUGGAGAGGAGACUGGAAUUUACGGUGUAGCGGUGAAAUGCGUAGAUAUCUGGAGGAACACCGGUGGCGAAGGCGGCAUCCUGGACCAUUACUGACACUGAAAAGCGAAAGCCAGGGGAGCAAACGGG